UGAUCCUGGCUCAGGAUGAACGCUAGCGGCAGGCCUAACACAUGCAAGUCGAGGGGCAGCGGGAGUGCUUGCACUCGCCGGCGACCGGCGCACGGGUGCGGAACGCGUAUGGAAUCUACCUCUUUCUGGGGAAUAGCCCAUGGAAACGUGGAUUAAUACCCCAUAGUAUGCAGAGAUCGCAUGAUCUCUGUCUUAAAGCUUUGGCGGAAAGAGAUGACCAUGCGUAUCAUUAGCUAGUAGGUGAGGUAACGGCUCACCUAGGCAACGAUGAUUAGGGGUCCUGAGAGGGAGAUCCCCCACACUGGUACUGAGACACGGACCAGACUCCUACGGGAGGCAGCAGUGAGGAAUAUUGGACAAUGGUCGAAAGACUGAUCCAGCCAUGCCGCGUGCAGGAUGAAUGCCCUAUGGGUUGUAAACUGCUUUUAUACGGGAAGAACACCACCCACGUGUGGGUGACUGACGGUACCGUAAGAAUAAGGACCGGCUAACUCCGUGCCAGCAGCCGCGGUAAUACGGAGGGUCCAAGCGUUAUCCGGAAUCAUUGGGUUUAAAGGGUCCGUAGGCGGGCUAUUAAGUCAGAGGUGAAAGUUUGCAGCUCAACUGUAAAAUUGCCUUUGAUACUGGUAGUCUUGAGUUAUAGUGAAGUGGUUAGAAUAUGUGGUGUAGCGGUGAAAUGCAUAGAUAUCACAUAGAAUACCAAUUGCGAAGGCAGAUCACUAACUAUAUACUGACGCUGAUGGACGAAAGCGUGGGGAGCGAACGGGAUUAGAUACCCCGGUAGU
rnacentral:rRNA from 1 species